CUAGCUUUCAAAGAGUGGUUUGUAGUAGACCAUCAAAACAUAGAACAAUAUCGUUCCGUGAAUACACACCAAAAGUACUGAUGGGAGUUGGGACCAUUCUCCAGAUUUUCUUGAUGGUUUUAUCAAGAAAAUCAAAGCAAUAAUACAUGAGUGUAAUUAUACGUAUCUUUUUGUGCAAACAUUUGGAGAACACUUCACAGAUGAUGUAAUUAUGCAGUUCACUUCCUACCUAGCCCCCCAUCUUGACUCCUAUUUUGCUACUCUAUACACUUAACAAAUAGUUGGCAUAUCAUUAUCCCUCACCCCCUUUUUUUCUUUCCAGCCAUCUUUUCUCCUCAGGCUCUAUGCAUCUUGAAUUUCUUUGAAAUUACAAAGUGGCUUCAAUUCUACAUCUAAAUAUUCCAGAAUUUAAGCUUAAGCAUAAGAGCACCUUUUUGAAAUUCUUUUUUUUUU
rnacentral:lncRNA from 1 species